GUCGCCGCUGUCGCCGCCAUCAUCGUCACGAUGUACCACAGCAGCACGCAGUGCCGGCACUGGACCUUCCGCGGCGAGGAUGAGCUGGCGCGGUGCCGGGCCGACGCCAACCGCAAGUUCCGCAGCAAAGUGGUGGCGAGCGGGAAGGUCCAGCAGACUGACCCUGUGCUUCUGGAACCCCACGAGGAGCUGGCGAUAUGCAAAUACUACGAAAAGCGGCUGCUGGACUUUUGCGCCGUCUUCAAGCCCGCCAUGCCGAGAUCCGUGGUGGGAACAGCUUGCAUGUAUUUCAAACGCUUUUACCUGAAUAACUCGGUGAUGGAGUACCAUCCUCGGAUAAUAAUGCUAACAUGUGCAUUUUUGGCCUGUAAAGUAGAUGAAUUUAAUGUGUCCAGUGCACAGUUUGUUGGUAACCUUCGAGAAAGCCCUAUUGGACAGGAAAAAGCUCUUGAACAAAUACUGGAAUAUGAACUACUACUUAUUCAGCAGCUCAACUUCCAUCUUAUCGUCCACAACCCAUACAGGCCAUUUGAGGGAUUUCUAAUUGAUUUGAAGACUCGCUAUCCAAUGCUGGAGAAUCCUGAAGUUUUGAGGAAAACAGCUGAUGACUUCCUCAAUCGAGUGGCUCUGACAGAUGCGUAUCUGCUCUUUACUCCCUCGCAGAUAGCUCUCACUGCCAUAUUAUCUAGUGGCUCAAGAGCAGGAAUUAAUAUGGAAAGUUAUUUAUCAGAAAGUCUUAUGCUGAAAGAAAACAGAAUAUCCUUAGCCAAGCUACUAGAUUGCAUGAAAUGCAUGAAAAAUCUUAUAAAGAAAUAUGAACUGCCAAGGCCUGAAGAGGUUGCUGCUCUAAAACAGAAGUUAGAGAAGUGUCACAGCUCGGAGCUUUCACUUAAUGCAAACCUGAAGAAGAGGAAAGGAUAUGAAGAUGAUGAAUAUGUCACAAAGAAAUGUAAAAUGGAUGAGGAGGAGUGGACUGACGAUGAUCUUGUGGACUCACUGUAAGGGUGAAGGAAGAAGGAAUCCUACCACUGCAGAAACUACGGCUUGGUGUGAAGUGUGUGCCUGUCUGCCACACAUUCUUUACUCUCUGUCAUGAGGGUCAUCAGUUGACUAGCCAGGGAAGAAAAGCAGAUAUCGCAACUUCACUUCAGCAAGCCUGACGCCAUUUACACACCGCCUUCAUAAUCAAGUGAAGAAAGCAUGACUUAACACUGUGUAAGGUUGUGUGCUUUAAGUUCUGAACUAGUGGGAAGCUACAAGCAGAGCGUUAAACUCAUCACACACAAAAAUGUUACAGUGGGGACUGUGACUUAUGUGACUGAACAGUGUACAGAGAGUAGGGCAGGAAAAAAGAUUAAUUACCUUUUCCUCUGAGAUGCAGUGUGAUACAGGCUUGGCAGCAAUAGCUCAAGCAGUGGCUUGAGGGACAGUUUAAAAAAGAAUUCAGGAGUACCAAGGUCUUGCAAACAGCUCUGUCUUCACUAGGCUGUACUAAGAGCAUCCCCUCUGUCUACUAAGCGUAGUACUCGUGGCACUUGGGAGCUCUUGCAGUGCUGGCACCCGCAUUCAAGAAAGCUGCCCCAGCUGGAGAGCGGAGUAGCACUGCAAGAGCCAACUGCAAACCUCGAAGAUGUGCACUAGUACAACAGCAAAGACCCAAAGAUAAGGCUGAACAAUGUAGUGUGGCAGGGAAUGGAAAAAGCAGGAGGUACUGUGCAGUUGUAAUGGCGUGCAACACCAAUUACACAAUUACUGAUGCAAUUAUCUCAUUAGUCUUGUCAAUCUCAGCACCCUUUUAUUCCUUAUUAGAUCACUGCCUAGAAAAGUUACAAACAGCGAUGCUGAAAUACCCCUGAAUCAACUGCAUAUUUUGCUGCUAAUUUUUUUUAACAGUUUUAACAUCCACUUUCUCGCCCUAUGAGAGGUAUGUACAAAUUGAGGCACGUGGAGGAUUCAUGCUAAAAAAGUGACACGGCAUGAACAUUUCGAAGUACAUCAUGUGUGCAGACACUGUAAAAAAUAUCCACACCAGCCAAAGUUA